GGGCCCAUAGCUCAGGCGGUUAGAGCUGCCGGCUCAUAACCGGUCGGUCGUGCGUUCGAGUCGCACUGGGCCCACCA
rnacentral:tRNA from 1 species